UGAAAUGGACAUUUCUGCCAAAGCCAAUGAGUAAAACUGACAGUGCGGAUGACUAACCUCCAGCCCAGAGCCUUUGGCAGCUCACACCUUUGUGCAAAGCACGUUACACAGAUUGGUCCCGAGGAUUCACAGACUGGCCUAAGGCUCUGGACUCCACCUUGAUUCACCAAUUUGCCUAAAAUAUGCUACAAAAGAAACUUCUGUGUUGCAGAAGGCUUCAAGGUGCUGUUCAUGUUUUCAGAAUGACCUGCGACAAUAUCAGAUUUGAUUGUGACCAUCCUAUAUCAGAUCUCUGAAACCUUUAGGAGUUGAGGCCUGGCUAGUGCUUGGCUAGGGAUGGGCCUGUGAGGAUGACAGCGUCCCUGUUCCUGCUGUGUUCUCUGCUUCCUGUCGGCUGGGAUGUGAACAACCUCUGCUAUCCCUCUCCACCAUAAACUGUGCUACCACAGUCGCUCCCCUUCAGCGAUGGGCUCUGAAACAGUGAGGAGAAAUAAGCCUUUUCUUGGGUAACUUGUUUUCGUCUGGUGUUUGGUCACGGUCCACACAAAUUACUGAUAGACCAGCUGAGUCAAAGCCAAAGUACAUCUUAAGUAAUCCAAUCUCAGUGUGGUAUUUACUUCACAAUCUACAUUUGUUGUUAAGUUCU
rnacentral:lncRNA from 1 species